CGUUGGGUGUGCUAUCAUCAUUUCAUUCAAAUUUAAGAGAAUCAUUCUGGGAAAAAAAAAAGAAAAAAAGAAAGGACUAAUCUGUUGGGAUCGAGCAAUCAGAAAUGGCUAAGCUCUUUGUCUUGACAAUAUUGAAAGCUGCUUUAGUUCUCACAAUUGCUACUGUUGUUAAUGGCCAAGACCAAUCAGAUUUUAUAAGCAUAGAUUGUGGUGCUGCAAAAAACUAUACUGAUCCAAAGACAGGAAUUAAGUACUCUACUGAUGCUAAUUACAUAGAGAGAGGAGAAACCAAAAAUAUUUCUAGUCAGUUCGAUACCAAAAUCGUCGAACAGCAAUUGCAGAAUCUCAGAAUUUUUCCACAAGGACAAAGAAAUUGUUACACCCUUAAACCUCGACUAGGCAAAAACCAAACAUACCUGAUCCGAGCAAGGUUUAUGUACGGGAACUAUGAUGAGCUAAAUCAAAACCCGGAGUUUGACCUGUAUCUCGGAGUCAACAAGUGGAAAACGGUGAAAGUGGCAAACCCAAACAAAACAAUAGAUGUCGAAAUCAUACAUGUUUCCCAGUCAGAUUAUAUCUUUGUUUGUUUGGUUAAAACAGGGGUAUAUACACCUUUCAUAUCAGCAUUAGAGCUGAGACUUGUGAACGAUAAUAUUUAUGUUACUCAAUCUGGGGCCUUGGAUCUCUUGGCAAGGUUAGAUUGUGGUGCAUCACCUAAUAAUAGCGUCAGGUAUAAAGAUGAUGUUAUGGAUCGAAUAUGGGAACCUUUCAACUACGAAAAGUGGAAUAUUAUAAACGAUACACUAAAAGAGACAGAUGUCAUUCGGCAAAAUAUGUAUGAGCCACCAUCAGUUGUUAUGAGCACUGCCGUCGAACCAUUUAAUGAAACCGAUAUAGUAGGCAUCACUUGGACUCCUGCUGCUCCCCAAAAAUCUGAAGAUUUUUACUUUUAUCUACAUUUUGCUGAAUUUGAAAAGCAUAAAAAGGAGGAAACUAGAGAAGUAAACAUAUACAUAAAUGAUGGGUUGUUUUAUGGGCCACUGGUUCUUGAUUACUGGAGGGUAACUACAAUAUACAGCGCACAACCCACAAAAGGGUCAAGUUUUGAGAUUAUAGUUAACAGAACAGAAAACUCGACUCGUCCACCCUUACUUAAUGCUAUUGAGAUUUACACACAGAUAAUUCUUGAAAACUCAACAGAUCAACAUGAUGUUGAUGCCGUUAUGAAUGUUAAAUCAACUUAUAAGCUGAAGAAAAAUUGGCAAGGAGAUCCAUGUGCGCCAAAAAAUUACAUGUGGGAGGGUCUGAAUUGCCGAAAUGAUUCUGAUUCACCUAGAAUCAUAUCUUUGAACCUGUCCUCAAAUAAUUUGACCGGAGAGAUAGCUUCAUAUAUAUUCAACCUGACGUUUUUAGAGGAGUUGGAUUUGUCAAACAAUAGUUUAAGUGGACCAGUGCCAGAUUUUCUGUCUCAGAUGCCAACUCUGAGGGUUCUAAAUUUACAACAAAACAACUUCUCUGGGAUACUCCCAACAGGACUCCAAGAAAGGUCAAAGAAUAAUUCAAUUUCACUGAGAGCGGAUGGAAAUUCACUUCUUUGUCUAUCAGAACCAUGCGAGAAGAAGAAUAAGGACAACAACAAGAUUCUCGCUCCAGUAUUAGCAUCAGUUGGUGGAUUUUUGGGCCUCUUGUCAGCUGUAGUAGUUAUCUUCUGGUACCUUAAAAAGAGGGAACAAGAUAAAACAGUGAUGAAUGUGAAUAUUGAGUUAGAGUCCAAACAACUUGGUGAAGUAUAUGAGUUCAAGAAACAGCAGUUCACAUACUCAGAAAUCCUAAGUAUCACCACCAACUUUGCGCGCAUACUUGGAAAAGGAGGGUUUGGAACAGUUUACCACGGUUACUUCAAUGGCAGCCAAGUUGCUGUUAAGAUGCUCUCUCGUUCAUCAGCACAAGGCUUCAAACAGUUCCGGGCAGAGGCCCAACUUCUGACAAAAGUUUAUCAUAGAAACUUGACGGCUCUAUUUGGUUAUUGUGAUGAAGGACCUAAUAUGGGGCUUGUCUAUGAAUAUAUGCCUAAUGGAGACUUAGCAUGGCAUUUAUCAGAUAAAAAUGAAAAUCCAUUGAGUUGGGAAGAGAGACUCGAAAUAGCAUUAGCUGCAGCCCAGGGGUUGGAAUAUUUGCACUGUGGCUGUAAACCACCCAUUAUACACAGAGAUGUAAAGUCAACAAACAUUUUAUUGAAUGAAAAAUUACAAGCCAAACUCUCUGAUUUUGGGCUGUCCAGAUCAUUUUCACUUGAAGAUGACACUCAUGUAUCAACCGUUGUUGUUGGCACACCAGGAUAUAUUGACCCCGAGUACUUGGUCUCAAAUAGGUUGACAGAGAAAAGUGAUGUUUUUAGCUUCGGGGUGGUUCUGUUGGAGAUGAUCACAGGUCGACAAGCAAUCUCUAAGAACAAUGGAAAGGAACAUAUUAUUGAAUGGGCUAAGUUUUGUCUCGCCGAAGGGGACAUCAAGUGCAUUAUGGAUCCAAGAUUAGAGGAAGACUUCGACAAAAACUCAGCUUGGAAAGCAGCAGAACUGGCAAUGACUUGUGCAUCUCAUACCUCGACCAAAAGACCAAAUAUGUCUCUGAUAGUGCCAGAACUGAAACAAUGCUUGGCAAUGCAGAUGGCUAGAACUAACAACACCAGCAAUGUCAUUGAGUCAAUCGAGCUCGUGGAAAAUAUGCAUGUAAAUACAGACUCUGGUCCAUUUCCAAGGUAGUAGAUUAAAAUGCAAUGGAGGAGCUUCUCAUUUUGGAUAAUAUACUUAAUAUCAAUGAUAAAUCUCUCUAUCUUCCAUGAAUGAUCAAUUGCUCAAAAUAAAAUAAACAUUCGGUCAAGUGCA